UCGAGGAUCUUCCGCAAUGGGCGAAAGCCUGACGGAGCGACACCGCGUGCAGGAUGAAGGCCUUCGGGUUGUAAACUGCUGUCACGCUAUAGGAAACCUCGAAUGUGAACAGCAUUCGAGCUGACUAAAGCGAGAGGAAGCACCGGCUAACUCUGUGCCAGCAGCCGCGGUAAUACAGAGGGUGCAAACGUUGCUCGGAAUCACUGGGCAUAAAGCGCAUGUAGGCGGUCUCCUAAGUCUGGUGUGAAAU
rnacentral:rRNA from 1 species